ncrna:unclassified sequences RAGATH-23 RNA
GCAAGAUGCAGCUUUAAAAAUGGUAGUUAUACCCCGCAUGAUUAACUACAGGAUUUAACAUCAAAGGGGCGGACUCUUCCCCUUUGGUGUAUGCCU